rnacentral:rRNA from 1 species
UACGUAUGGUGCAAGCGUUAUCCGGAUUUAUUGGGCGUAAAGGGAACGCAGGCGGUCUUUUAAGUCUGAUGUGAAAGCCUUCGGCUUAACCGGAGUAGUGCAUUGGAAACUGGGAGACUUGAGUGCAGAAGAGGAGAGUGGAACUCCAUGUGUAGCGGUGAAAUGCGUAGAUAUAUGGAAGAACACCAGUGGCGAAAGCGGCCCUCUGGUCUGUAACUGACGCUGAGGUUCGAAAGCGUGGGUAGCAAACAGG